rnacentral:tRNA from 1 species
UAAGAAGUGGUGUAACGGUAGCACGCAGAGUUUUGAACUCUAUAGCCUGGGUUCGAAUCCAAGUUUUUUAU